AUUGAACGCUGGCGGCAUGCCUUACACAUGCAAGUCGAACGGCAGCACGGGUGCUUGCACCUGGUGGCGAGUGGCGAACGGGUGAGUAAUACAUCGGAACGUACCUUAUCGUGGGGGAUAACGCAGCGAAAGCUGUGCCAAUACCGCAUACGCCCUGAGGGGGAAAGCGGGGGAUCGAAAGACCUCGCGCGAUUAGAGCGGCCGAUGCCUGAUUAGCUUGUUGGUGGGGUAAAAGCCCACCAAGGCGACGAUCAGUAGCUGGUCUGAGAGGACGAUCAGCCACACUGGGACUGAGACACGGCCCAGACUCCUACGGGAGGCAGCAGUGGGGAAUUUUGGACAAUGGGGGCAACCCUGAUCCAGCAAUGCCGCGUGAGUGAAGAAGGCCUUCGGGUUGUAAAGCUCUUUUGUCAGGGAAGAAACACCGGCUCAAGCACAGUCCGGGAAUGACGGUACCUGAAGAAUAAGCACCGGCUAACUACGUGCCAGCCGCCGCGGUAA
rnacentral:rRNA from 1 species